ensembl:lncRNA
GUCCUCAUCAUGGAGGAGGCCUGGAGAGCGAGGUUAUUACGAGGGCCCUGCGGUGCAGGUGAAUGAGCCCCCUCGCGGAGCUCGUCCGCUGAGCUGCAUAGAGGGUGUCAGGAUGGACAAAUGGCUUCAGAUGCUGGAGAGACUCCAAUCACGUCGGCUUCAGUAUCAAAUACCUCCGUUUGUGGACAGGACGGUAUCGAUGCCGGUUUUCACAAAUGAGACGGCGGGAAGUAACCCGCUGUGUCCUGAUGUUUCCUCUCUCCACAGGAGGAAUCAGACCCCUAGCGUCUUUCCCAGUGUGUGUGAAUGCUCCUCGAGCAGCCUGGAGUCUGUUCACAUUAAAGCUGCUCCUGCUGGAGAAAAUGCUCAAUUCUGCGCUCUCACUCCGGUUCGCUUCGGCUGGCUACCCAUACAAAGACAUGUGAUACUGACAGACAUCUCUGACAACCGCCAUGACAAUAGCAGGUGUCAGCAGAAACCGAAGUCUCCCAUCACUCCAGUGUUGCUCAGCACUCCUGCCAAACUUAAUGGACCAAGACCAAAUGGCUUCAGGAUCUGUGAGCUCCGAGGGAGGACAAAAUGGACCGCAAGCCUGGAAUCCAAAAGCCAAGAUGGACACGGGCCAUGCUGGACCUCAUCCCGUGUUGAGAGAUCCCACACGCAGGCGUGGAAGUGCACCGGAGUCCUUCAGCUCCUCAAUUUCAUCCAUCACUAUCACUUCCAGGAAGGUCACACAGAUUUCCAAGCCUUUGUGUACAACGAUGAAUGACCUCGCCGAUGGACGAAGAAAAGCCUUAGUGGUCAAAGUCACCGAACAGAGAACGACAAGCACCACCAGCCGGCCCAUCAUCUCUGCCUCUGGCUGUAAUCAUGAAGAGAUUGACCAUGGCGUGGUACUCAGGAGAAAGGCAACCAUUGUGAAAAUGACCGAACAGAGAGAGUGUUUCAGUCCAUCACAAUACAGACACAGCUACACUGAAGGACUCAAUGAAGCCCAGUUAAGGAAUGAAUCUGAAGUCAAUCCCUCACCAUUAAACCAAACACUCACUAUAUCUUUAGAGCCAGGAGGAAACCAGUGGAGGUCCCAGCACAGAUCUAGCCUGUCUCUUUACCUUAACAACCUAAAUACUAGCAGCACAGCAGGGGAGAGCAACACCAAAAAAUACAAGCAACCUGGAAGGCCUCUCAGCUGCGACGCAAGCUUGUUUAACUGCACAGAACUUAGCACUAAUGCAGUUACACAUCCAGCAUUUUACAACAAAAGCUCUCCUGUUCCCCAGAAGACAAAUAUUGACCUUGUUAGUUCCAGCAGCAGUGAAGCAAGAAGGUGCUCAGCCUCCAGUGGCGAGGACGGGAGCGCAGGGAAAGAGGGAUUGGAGUUGGAUCGAAGGCUUGAGGAGCGAGAGGGACCUAUUUCAGGAAUCAAACCUCUCACGCUACUCAAAGCAGCAGAUAACUCAGCUGAUCUGAGCGCAGACGCCGUCCUGGCCCUGAACGCCACUGCGGUUAUUGCCAACAUAAAGCUGCAGGCCCAGCAGAGACGAACUACAUCCCACAGAGCAACAGCAGAGGUUAGAGGGCAAAAUGAACACAGGGAGCUCAAAGAAGAGGCUGCUGGUGCUAAUGGAAAGGACAAAACAUGUCCAGUAGAACAAUGUGUGGAUUUUGUCCCAUUUGAGUCCGAAAAUGACCUUUGUGAAACUGCUUUGGCUCCACUGUCCCUUAGCGAGGCUUUAGCGAUCAGACGGCCUGAUUUCAUCCGGCACUCGCAGGCCAGAGUUCAAGCCCUGGAGAGGAGGUUGCAGGAGAGGCUGAGCUCCCACAGCUCACCGCAGACACCUGAGAGCGGAGAAUGCCUUGUGAAAUCCAAAGACAGACGCAUCAUGGGAAAGAGUCUGCAGCUGUGGUCCAGGAGGAGUUAUAACCAGCUCCCUGAAGUGAAGAAGAGGAGAGAAGAAGAAAAGAGGAAAAAAGAAGAAGAGAAAAGAAAACUGGCAUCUCGGACCAACAGGCUGCGGGCAGAGCUCUUUAAAAAGAAACUUCUGGAGCAGAUUUUGCAGAGAGGAGGAAAUCACUGACACUGCCUUGGACCCGUGUUUCUUCUCACUCUGCAGUUCUCAUGCCGUCCCUUGAAAAAUAUGACGUGACAUUAGUUAGAAACUGAUAUUACUUUCAGAUUGAAUGUGCCUUAAACAUGGACUGCAGCCAUAUUUACAUGGCUCUGGAUUACAUCUUCUCUCUCUAUACAUACACUACUGGUCAAAAGUUUGGAAUAAUUAAGUUUUUUUUAUCUUAAGUCUCUUAUGUUCAGCUAGGCUGCAUUUAUUUGCUCAAAAAUACAGUAAAAAAUGUGAAACAUUAUUACAAUUUAAAAUAACUGUUUUCUCUUUGAAUACAUUUUAGCAUGUAAUUUAUUCCUGUGAUCAAAGCUGAAUUUUCAUUAUCAUUACUCCAGUCUUCAGUGUCACAUGAUCCUUCAGAAAUCAUUCUAUUAUGCUGAUUUGCUGCUCAAGAUACAUUUGUCAUUGUUAUUAAUGUUGAAACAGUUGUGCUGCUUCAUAUUUUUGUGGAAACUUUGCAUUUUCAGUGUUGCCAAUCCUCCAAACAGUAUCGCAUGACACUGAUAAACACAGGACAUCAGGAUAGUCUUUUGGCUUCUUAGAGUUGCUACAGUUGCUGUAUAGACAGAUUGUUCGCCCUGCCUCUGCCCCAGUCAUAUUACAUUAUAUAAGACACACAAAAUAAAAGAGCACACAGUGACUCCA